rnacentral:rRNA from 1 species
UAGGGAAUCUUCCGCAAUGGGCGAAAGCCUGACGGAGCAACGCCGCGUGAGUGAUGAAGGUCUUCGGAUCGUAAAACUCUGUUAUUAGGGAAGAAAAAAUGUGUAAGUAACUAUGCACGUCUUGACGGUACCUAAUCAGAAAGCCACGGCUAACUACGUGCCAGCAGCCGCGGUAAUACGUAGGUGGCAAGCGUUAUCCGGAAUUAUUGGGCGUAAAGCGCGCGUAGGCGGUUUUUUAAGUCUGAUGUGAAAGCCCACGGCUCAACCGUGGAGGGUCAUUGGAAACUGGAAAACUUGAGUGCAGAAGAGGAAAGUGGAAUUCCAUGUGGAGCGGUGAAAUGCGCAGAGAUAUGGAGGAACACCAGUGGCGAAGGCGACUUUCUGGUCUGUAACUGACGCUGAUGUGCGAAAGCGAGGGGAUCAAACAGG